GGGCUCGUAGCUCAGCGGUUCAGAGCGGAGGACUCAUAAUCCUUUGGUCGUAGGUUCGAAUCCUACCGGGCCCACCA
rnacentral:tRNA from 1 species